UAUAUUACAUGAAACUUGAUCAAGGAUCUAUUAUCCUUUCAUUACACUCCAAAACAAAUGAAAAAGAAAGAUGAAAUUUGAUGGCCAUAUCAUCCAUGAGAUAUCUCAAUGGUUUAAACUUGCUUAUUCCUAUUAGGCCUCCUAAUUAAAGGCAUAUAGUGUUAAUUAGCCUCUCUUGAUAUUAGAGCCAUAUAGUGUUAAUUAUCCUCUCUUGAUAUUAGAGCCAUAUAGCAUUAGCUUCAAUGAGCAUGGGCUUCAAACUGCUUCUCAUAUUGAGGCUCAUCACCUCUUUAGAACCACCAACCAGUUUCUUCCCUAUAUAAACAACCGGUGCGCUUGGACUGCAACCUAACUCUGUUAACUCCUUCUCCACUAGUUCCCCGUUCGAUAUUUCAUCCAGCUCGUAUACAGUCGGGUUAGCCCCAAAGUUUCUUAUGAGUGUUUUGAUGGAAUGACUUAUGGAACAAGAUGCUUUGCUAAAGAUCACCACUGGGUUAUCAGCCACCAGCCUUUUCACCACAAAAGUGGAAUUGUAA
rnacentral:lncRNA from 1 species